GCCUUUGCAGCUCCCAUCCUCUUCCAGCAAGGGAAAGAAGCCCUGGGGGCUGACGCCACCAGCACCAGCAGCCAAGCACACACAGCUGUUGGAGACCAAGCAGCCCCAGGAGGCCCGGAGAGGACUGCAGACUCCUGCAAGGUGUCUUCAGUCCUGGUUGUCCCAAAAUGAGGUGCUUCCUGGUGUACCAUGAUCACGCCAUGAGUCUAACCCCCUCAAACUCAAACAGGACAUGGAUCUGAAUGCAAUGGGAAAAGUCCACUUGCCCCAUGUGAAAAAGAUCGAAAGGGAAAUGAGCUGCACUUUCAGGAAAUUGGAGGUGUCUUUCCAUUUCUCCUUGCCUUGUGCACCCAUCUGCUCCGUUGUUGAUCCAGUGGCCAUUUCCGUCUCUUAGCCAGGACCCACAGGGACAGAGAGAGCCCGGACCGAUUCUGCUGGGCUCACUGCCCGUGUCAGCCAGCCCGCGUGUCCCAUUCCACCCGGGAGAGGCACGUCGCCCAGCGAGAGUUCGGAAGGGACCUGCAGGACUCACUGCGGAUCUCAUCUCCUGGGUCCCGUUCCACUCAGGACACACACAUUGUCCAGCAAGAGGUUCCGUCUCCUCUCUCGUGGUGAUUUCUUCAGGAUCGAUGGCUGAUCUUGCCCCACGUGCCCGCUUCCAUCAGGAGACACAGGUGGCACAGCAGCAGGUCUGACAGGCCCUCGGCAGUCCUCCAGUCCAGUCCCUCUCGUCGCUUGCUGACCAGCUCUGACACUCGCUGCCCUUGCAUUCAUUGGCCACCCAGUCACUGGUCAGACAGGCAGCGUUCCUGGAGGUGAAGCUGUCACCCAGCCUCCAGACAAGAACCCUUGCCGAUCUUACCAUGGGUUGUGGACGCCGUCAGGCCUCCUGCGUCCUCCUUUAUCAAGAGCAACUGAGCAGCAGCUGCGCCUCCGUGUCCUGUGAAGAUGGGAUUGGUGUGGCUCCAGGAAGACCUGGGUCUGCCCCUGUGGAUUCUGGUCCCUCUCUUCCAUCCCACAGUGGGCCAUGGUCUGCAGUGGGCGGUCAAGUGUGUACGACUGGUGCUUGGCCUGCCCCCAUCAUGUUUCCGAAGGAUGGGACGGUGGGCCCUGGCCCUCAGGGCAGAUGCCCUCAAUUCCACAGCUUCAUAUCUGGCCCCUGAGAAGACAAUGCUGGACGGUUUCAGGUGGCUAUUGGUCCUGCACAUGUCGCCUGGAGACACUGGUUCUGGGUGCCAGGCGUAAGCAGUCGUUGAGGCACACCAUGUCAUUCAGGGUGUAGUUGUCUGGCAGUGAUGGCACAGAAGUUGAGGAUGGUGGUGCCUUGUGAGGAGGGGCAUGUUUUCUCUUGUCACUUGAAAUGUGGGGGCCCAAGGACCAAAGGGAUUCCUGGUUUGACUGCAGGAGCCUUAGUGGGCCAGGGCCGACCAGCCCUGGGCCUGCAGGGGAAGCGCAGCUGAGCUGAGCUGAGCUGAGCCUCUGGCCCUUUGUUCCACACCCAGCUGUCAUCACAUCCAAACACAAUGUCUGGGUAGCGUGGUCCUCAAAUGAGAGUGUGACAGAGUGCCUGCAAACCCAGCCCAGAAGUCACAGCAUCUGGCCCCAGGGUGCCGAGCACUCUGGAAAUGCAACUAGGGAGCUGCCCGUGCAACCCUUGCGUGUCUGUUCCCUGAAGAGGCGGCAGGUUCCAGGGGAGGGGAGACCCUGAGACAUUGGGCUCAUUACUCUCGCAGCACUGGCCAUGGUGGACGUGCCCCAUCUGCGCUCCAAAGAAAUCGAAGACAUCCUAGCCUGCUAUGAUGAGGGCCCACGCGCAGGGGCACCAGUGGAACCCGGGCACGACGAAGACCUGUCGCUCUACAGGGCGGUGGACCACCUGGGUUUUCUUCAGUGAGUCCACAGGGUCAAUGUCAGGGUGGUUUGUAUUGGCAGAUGCAGCUCUCAGGAGCCCAAGCCCACCGCUCAAGACCUCCCAACCCAGGGCCCAUCAAGCCCCGGGGCAGUGGUGGACUCCUG